GCCUGGGUGGCUCAGUGGGUUAAGCAUCUGACUUUGGCUCAGGUUAUGAUCUCACAGUAUGUGAGUUCGAGCCCUGCUUCAGGCU
rnacentral:tRNA from 1 species